rnacentral:misc_RNA from 1 species
AAGUCGUAACAAGGUUUCCGUAGGUGAACCUGCGGAAGGAUCAUUACAGAGAUAGGGUCCUCUGGGCCCGACCUCCAACCCUGUGUAUACAGUUACCUUUGUUGCUUCGGCAGGCCCGCCUUUACUGGCCACCGGGGCUUUUGCGCCGGUCCGUGCCUGCCGGAGGUCAUCUCACAUACUUUUUGAAAUUGCUGUCUGAACCACAAUUAUAAUUAAAAAAAACUUUCAACAACGGAUCUCUUGGUUCUG